AGGUUUCCGGUAGUGAACCUGCGGAAGGAUCAUUACCGAAUUGUCAACCUGAGUUGUUGCUGGCCCUCAAAUGGGGGCAUGUGCACGCUCUGUUCGCACAUCCACUCACACCUGUGCACCCUCCGUAGUUCUGUGGCCUGGGGGCUCUGCCCUCCUGCUGUGGUUCUAUGUCUUUACACAUACACUCUGUAAUGAAGUCUCAUGGAAUGUAUGCCGCGUUUAACGCAAUACAAUACAACUUUCAGCAACGGAUCUCUUGGCUCUCGCAUCGAUGAAGAACGCAGCGAAAUGCGAUAAGUAAUGUGAAUUGCAGAAUUCAGUGAAUCAUCGAAUCUUUGAACGCACCUUGCGCCCUUUGGCCAUUCCGAAGGGCAUGCCUGUUUGAGUAUCAUGAACACCUCAACUCUCAUGGCUCGCCAUGAUGAGCUUGGAUUUGGGGGUCUUGCUGGCCUGUGGUCGGCUCCUCUCAAAUGGAUCAGCUUGCCAGUGUUUGGUGGCAUCACAGGUGUGAUAACUAUCUGCGCUUGUGGUUUUCCAUCAGAUAACCUUCAGUGAUGGAGGUUCGCUGGAGCUCAUAAACGUCUCCCCUAAGCGGGGACAGCCCUUUGAAUGUUUGAUCUCAAAUCAGGUAGGACUACCCGCUGAACUUAAGCAUAUCAAUAAGCGGAGGAAAAGAAACUAACAAGGAUUCCCCUAGUAACUGCGAGUGAAGCGGGAAGAGCUCAAAUUUAAAAUCUGGCGUGCCUCUGGUCGUCCGAGU
rnacentral:rRNA from 1 species